UCUGCUUGCCAUUGAAGUAAGGCCAUGAUCCAGAGUUUAUGAGUCCCUCAACAUCAUCAUAAGGCUCAUAAACUCACUGGUCAAUCCCUAGGCUGAGAGGCUUGUACUCUUUUCCUAAGUGUGGUUUUAUCCCAAAGGGUUUUCUAUGCUUAGGUUUUUAAUGAGGCAAGUACUCUCAGUUCCAAGCUUGCCCAAGGAUCUCCUAUGGUCAAGCUUGAGGGGAAGUGUUGACAUGAAGCAGAAUUAAGCAGCUAGACUUAAGAAUUAAGCUGCUAGACUUGAGAAUUAAGCUGCCACACUUGAAAAUACUUAUAAAGUCUUAUAAGGUCUUAUAAGGUUUUAUAAGGUUUUAUAAAGGUUUUAUAAGGCUUUAUAAGAAGCACCAGACUUGAGAUGUAAGCUGCCAGACUUGAGACUUGAGUGCCAGACUUGAGACUUGAG
rnacentral:lncRNA from 1 species